AUCCAGCUGACUAGGAGUCCGAAAUAGGACGAAAUGCACAUCCUGGAU
rnacentral:hammerhead_ribozyme from 1 species